GAGUGGGUAACAGAGGCUACCACUAUCGCGCUACAUCAUAUUGACACUAUAUCUGUCGGUGUACGUCUAUAAUUAUAAUAUUAUGACUAUAUGUAGUAUGAAAAUAGGUCACCUUAUAGGGAGAUAUACUAUAAUGCUUAUACGUUUAAUUUUAUACACAGGUUAAUAGAUGACCCGGUGCCCGCAGAUGAUACCUCGAUCGUGCAUAGAGCUCACGCGUUCCAGAAGGUAGUCGAUGAUACACAACGGAAAGGUGUGAUUUACAACAAGAAAGCAUUAACGAAGGAUUUUUCAAACGGGAUAUCCGUGUGGGGAAGUAUCGCCAUGUCAUUUUUGCCACAGAGUAUCAUUGAAUUUGUUAUAUUUAUGAAAUUGUAAUGUAUUGAAUAAAAUUAUAUACUUUGUUGUUUAUUAAUGAACGGGUCCGCUCUAGCGUGGGGAUGUUCCGAAAACCAGGGGGAAAUGAUCAUAAAGCGAAUGUGUCCCGAAAGUAAACUAUAUCUACAACCCGAAAUUAAACUAAGUCGUGUGGACGACUCCACUAACGGGUGUGGACGACUCCACCAACGAGUGUGGACGACUUCAGCAGAUUUUUCGUGUGGACGACUUUGCUUGUGGACGACUUGACUGAUAUUCCUCUUGCCAUGCCUUCGGUCCUGCACCUGCUUCUUUUUUUUUCUUUUGAACAUACAAUUAUUCCGGUGGGUGCAUGGGUAUUUUGUUUAUAUGACACAGUAUGAUAGUGCCAUUUAACGAAAGCGAAAGAUGACUAAGAUGCCAAGUUAUGGCAACUUAAAGGCUCAAUACCACUCUUGUUGUAACUGAAUAAUAUGUCCCAAUUUUUAUUCUGGUCAACAAAUUGUACUAUUUUACAAUAUUUCAAUUAAUUGGUGAUACAAAUUUCAUCUUAACACACCUAAUUUAAAAAUUUUGAAAAAUUCAACAUAAUGGUUAGAAACGUCUAACGUAAACCUUUUCAAAUGAAACUUCGAUUUAAAAAUAUUUUCGAACCCUCUGGACAAGUAAAAUAGGAUGUAAUGGACAAUUUACACAACAGGUAGGACACUUAAACAUCUAGUACUUAGAUAGAGAUAUUAUUUAUUUUCUGGAGCUUUCAAGCCAGCAAGAGUGUUAUUGUCCCUUUAAAAGUAAAUAGCACGGUCUGCUUAGUCACAUAAUAGAGUAAUAAAUUUAGAAGCUUCACACAGAACGAUAAUUUGUCUUACACCAGAGAAUUUAGUAAGGCAGAGUAGACUGGAGCUUGGUGAUUUUAUUUAUAUUUUCUUUUC